rnacentral:rRNA from 1 species
UACGUAGGGUGCGAGCGUUGUCCGGAAUUAUUGGGCGUAAAGAGCUCGUAGGCGGCUUGUUGCGUCGGAUGUGAAAGCCCGGGGCUUAACUCCGGGUCUGCAUUCGAUACGGGCAGGCUAGAGUUCGGUAGGGGAGAUCGGAAUUCCUGGUGUAGCGGUGAAAUGCGCAGAUAUCAGGAGGAACACCGGUGGCGAAGGCGGAUCUCUGGGCCGAUACUGACGCUGAGGAGCGAAAGCGUGGGGAGCGAACAGG